rnacentral:rRNA from 1 species
UUUUAUGGAGAGUUUGAUCCUGGCUCAGGAUGAACGCUGGCGGCGUGCCUAAUACAUGCAAGUCGAGCGAACGGACGAGAAGCUUGCUUCUCUGAUGUUAGCGGCGGACGGGUGAGUAACACGUGGAUAACCUACCUAUAAGACUGGGAUAACUUCGGGAAACCGGAGCUAAUACCGGAUAACAUUUUGAACCGCAUGGUUCAAAAGUGAAAGACGGUCUUGCUGUCACUUAUAGAUGGAUCCGCGCUGCAUUAGCUAGUUGGUAAGGUAACGGCUUACCAA